UCUUUGCUAGUAUAUCGGUUAGUACACGCGCCUGUCAUACCGCGGCGAAAACAUAUCAAAUACCGCGCAAAAGCUGGGUUCGACUCCCAGGCAGAGAG